AAUAAGUGCAGUUUUGCACUAUUCACGUUUAACGUUUGGCCGUUCGUCUUAUUUGAAAUUUUUUUUAUGAUUAGUAUUUGUAUUACUAUUAGAUGAUAAAACAUGAAUAGUACUUUAUGUGUGACUAAAUAUUUUUAAAUUUUUCACAAAUUUUUUAAAUAAGACGGACGGUCAAAUGUUGGACACGGAUAUCCACGACUGCACUUUUU
rfam:Oryza glumipatula chromosome 1, whole genome shotgun sequence.